AAAACUCAAAGGAAUUGACGGGGGCCCGCACAAGCGGCGGAGCAUGCGGAUUAAUUUGAUGCAACGCGAAGAACCUUACCAAGGCUUGACAUGUGCCGGACCGUCCCAGAGAUGGGGCUUCCCUUCGGGGCCGGUUCACAGGUGGUGCAUGGUUGUCGUCAGCUCGUGUCGUGAGAUGUUGGGUUAAGUCCCGCAACGAGCGCAACCCUCGUUCCAUGUUGCCAGCACGUGAUGGUGGGGACUCAUGGGAGACUGCCGGGGUCAACUCGGAGGAAGGUGGGGACGACGUCAAAUCAUCAUGCCCCUUAUGUCUUGGGCUUCACGCAUGCUACAAUGGCCGGUACAAAGGGUUGCGAUACUGUGAGGUGGAGCCAAUCCCAGAAAGCCGGUCUCAGUUCGGAUUGGGGUCUGCAACUCGACCCCAUGAAGUCGGAGUCGCUAGUAAUCGCAGAUCAGCAACGCUGCGGUGAAUACGUUCCCGGGCCUUGUACACACCGCCCGUCAAGUCACGAAAGUCGGUAACACCCGAAGCCGGUGGCCC
rnacentral:rRNA from 1 species